rnacentral:rRNA from 1 species
GGGCGGCGGGUGCUAUACAUGCAAGUCGAACGCGUUGGCCCAAUUGAUUGAUGGUGCUUGCACCUGAUUGAUUUUGGUCGCCAACGAGUGGCGGACGGGUGAGUAACACGUAGGUAACCUGCCCAGAAGCGGGGGACAACAUUUGGAAACAGAUGCUAAUACCGCAUAACAACGUUGUUCGCAUGAACAACGCUUAAAAGAUGGCUUCUCGCUAUCACUUCUGGAUGGACCUGCGGUGCAUUAGCUUGUUGGUGGGGUAAUGGCCUACCAAGGCGAUGAUGCAUAGCCGAGUUGAGAGACUGAUCGGCCACAAUGGGACUGAGACACGGCCCAUACUCCUACGGGAGGCAGCAGUAGGGAAUCUUCCACAAUGGGCGCAAGCCUGAUGGAGCAACACCGCGUGAGUGAAGAAGGGUUUCGGCUCGUAAAGCUCUGUUGUUAAAGAAGAACACGUAUGAGAGUAACUGUUCAUACGUUGACGGUAUUUAACCAGAAAGUCACGGCUAACUACGUGCCAGCAGCCGCGGUAAUACGUAGGUGGCAAGCGUUAUCCGGAUUUAUUGGGCGUAAAGAGAGUGCAGGCGGUUUUCUAAGUCUGAUGUGAAAGCCUUCGGCUUAACCGGAGAAGUGCAUCGGAAACUGGAUAACUUGAGUGCAGAAGAGGGUAGUGGAACUCCAUGUGUAGCGGUGGAAUGCGUAGAUAUAUGGAAGAACACCAGUGGCGAAGGCGGCUACCUGGUCUGCAACUGACGCUGAGACUCGAAAGCAUGGGUAGCGAACAGGAUUAGAUACCCUGGUAGUCCAUGCCGUAAACGAUGAGUGCUAGGUGUUGGAGGGUUUCCGCCCUUCAGUGCCGGAGCUAACGCAUUAAGCACUCCGCCUGGGGAGUACGACCGCAAGGUUGAAACUCAAAGGAAUUGACGGGGGCCCGCACAAGCGGUGGAGCAUGUGGUUUAAUUCGAAGCUACGCGAAGAACCUUACCAGGUCUUGACAUCUUGCGCCAACCCUAGAGAUAGGGCGUUUCCUUCGGGAACGCAAUGACAGGUGGUGCAUGGUCGUCGUCAGCUCGUGUCGUGAGAUGUUGGGUUAAGUCCCGCAACGACAACCCUUGUUACUAGU